GACUGAACGCCUCUAAGUCAGAAUCCAUGCUGGAAAGCGACGAUGUCCCCCUCUCCCGAUGUUACGCGAAUAGCGAUAGGCUUCGGCCCCACAUCAUACAAUUGCGACGCCCGCCUGAGCUGGAAGCAGCUCUGGUGUGUACGCUGAAACACAAUUUCAAGUGUUGGGAGAGAUAAAUUCUUUGUAGACGACUCUGAAUGGAACGGGGUAUU
rnacentral:rRNA from 1 species